GGGCAAUUAGCUCAGCUGGUUUAGAGCACUACCUUGACAGGGUAGGGGUCAUUGGUUCGAAUCCGAUAUUGCUCACGA
rnacentral:tRNA from 1 species